rnacentral:snRNA from 1 species
AGACCUUUCUCAGCCUUUUGGCUAGAUCAAGUAUAGUAUCUGUUCUUACAUUAUCUUGCUAUCGGGACCUUCCAGAGUAGCCUUGGUGUUGCACUAUUGUCUUGGCCUGGAUCACCCCAC